AUAAAAAGUAUUGUUUUUCAGAUGAUGGGUGGAUCAUGCUAUAAAAUGGUAACAAAGUUUUGGAAAUAAUAGCUUUAGAUUAUUCCAAAAAGAAAAAAAAGAAAGCCUUUCUUGAGUAUAAAUUGUUUUUAUGAGUUCAAGGUUACAUUGGCCUCAUCUUAAUAAUUAGCGAUGAUUCAGAUAUUUUGGAAUAGCUUUAUAUUUUUAUUUAUUUUUCUUUUUGAGACAGAGUGCCACUAAUAUUGCCCAGGCUGGUCUCUUAACUACUGGCCUCAAGCGGUCUUCCCACCUCAGCCUCCUGAGAAGCUGGGAUUACAGGUGCACACUACCAAGCGCGGCUUAGAAUAGCUUUUUAGAAAACCUAAACUUUUUAUGUUCUGCAACUCUCCUCAUAUUGAAACGUUCAUGUCCAACUGUUUUUCACCUUUUCUAAUGAAAGUAUUCUCCAAAGAACAAAUUGGAAUGCUUCCAAUUAUAGUUGUUCCCCCUUAUCCUAGGGGGACACAUUGCAAGACUCCCCAAUGAAUCCCUGAAACUGAAGUCUGUAUACACUGCCGAAGCCUAAGUAUACCAUGUUUUUUAGAUCUAAUAACCAAGAUGGGCUGAUAGCGUAUACAGCAUGGAUACACUGGACAAAGGGAUGAUUCACGUCCUAGGCAGGAGGGGGCAAACUUUCAUUUUGCUACUCAGAACAUGCUCUUGCCCCAUUUAAAACUUAGGAAUUGGCCAGUGCUGGGAUUACAGGCGUGAGCCACCGCGCCCGGCCAUGUUUUUUGAUAUUCUGAAUAAAAAGGAUAUAGCAGUUGGGAUAGGCUUGGGUUCUUGUCCUUUAUGUUCUUGUCCUUUCCUCAUGAUAAUCAAAUCAUAAUUAGAAAUAAGAUGCUAAGAAUACAAAGGUGGCUCUAUGUUAAUACUGUAUUGAUAGGUCAAAGGAGAAAAAGCAUGAGAUCAAUUCAUUAGAUACUGAAAAGUCUUUUGAGGGAAUUUAAUGUCUUCUUGCUUUCUUUAUUAACAGAAUAGGAAUAAAUAAUAGCAUAGGCAUAAAUUAAAAAUAAUGUAAUUUUUUAAAAUCUCAAACUAAAAAUGGGAAUCAUACUUAAACAUUAGCAUUCCCAGGAGAGUUGGAGCAAGACCUCUGUGCCCACUAUCACUCAACAUUUCAUUAUUUAAGUCCUAGCAAGUGC
rnacentral:lncRNA from 1 species